rnacentral:rRNA from 1 species
GACGAACGCUGGCGGCGUGCUUAACACAUGCAAGUCGAACGGUGAAGCUCCAGCUUGCUGGAGUGGAUCAGUGGCGAACGGGUGAGUAACACGUGAGCAACCUGCCCCUGACUCUGGAAUAAGCGCUGGAAACGGCGUCUAAUACUGGAUACGAGAAGGGUCCGCAUGGGCACUUUCUGGAAAGUUUUUCGGUUGGGGAUGGGCUCGCGGCCUAUCAGCUUGUUGGUGAGGUAAUGGCUCACCAAGGCGACGACGGGUAGCCGGCCUGAGAGGGCGACCGGCCACAAUGGGGAUGAGACACGGGCCCGAAUCCUACGGGAGGCAGCAGUGGGGAAUAUUGGACAAUGGGCGGAAGCCUGAUGCAGCGACGCCGCGUGGGGGAUGACGGCCUUCGGGGUGUAAACCUCUUUCAGCAGGGAAGAAGCGAAAGUGACGGUACCUGCAGAAGAAGCACCGGCUAACUACGUG